AUCAAAAAGACUGUGGUGUGUGUGUGUGUGUGUGUGCUGUGUUGAGAUACUGUUGUUGAGGAAGAGUUGCAUUCCAAGUUGCACAAUUUGGCAUGCACAAAUGGGAAAAGAUGUGUACAAAGUUUUUGUGAGCAUCCGCUGUUGUUGAACAUGUUGGAUAUGCCAUUCCUGGUCCAACAUGGACAAAAAAAUGGACACAGAAUUGGUUAAAGGCAAAGCUAAAAGGCCAACACUGGAUUGUGGAGUGUGAUGUGAGCUGUGUUGAGAUACAAUUGUUGAGGAAGAGUUGCAGUUAGUUAAACAACUUGGCAUACACAAACAGGGAAGAAACAUGUACAACAAGGAAAUUCUUGUGAGCAUACGCUGUUGGUGAACAUGUUGGAAAUGCUGUACGGGUGCCAGUGUAGACAAAAAAUGGAAAGCCGAAAGGAUGUGUGAUUUCUUCUUACCAACACAGUGGACUGAAGACAAACCUACUCCAUGAACCACUUUCAAUUCUGCUUUCCAAAUGAAAUAUAGAACUAAAUGCAGUUUAUCUAACGGAAUGGAGUCCAGCAAUAAUGUUGUGAUUACCAGCAGUUCUAAUACGUGAUCUACUCGGCCAGUGAACAGGAGAUAUGAACAUUCAGUUGUAAACCAUUGUGAGUGUUUGUAUGUGGAUUUUUAGAAGAUUUGAACAGCCGGUUAUGAAGCAGUGCAUGGUUUUUUGAGUGGACAUCAAUAUUCAGUUAAAACCAGUGUAUGGAUUUUUGAGCAAAUUAUAAUUGUGUAUUAUCAGAAUGAUAUUUCUGGGGUGUUAGGAAAUCACUUACUUUGACAUUCGGAGAACAGAGACUAUAUGAAUAGUGCAAUUUAAAUUAGUGGAUUAUCAAAAUACUCAGAAAUUUUACCACUUUCUGUUUGUUUUUGAUGACUGGAGUAGAAAACACAAACAGUAACAGUUGACAGUGAAUUUUUUAUUAAAAAAUCAAACGGUGUAAACAGAAAAUUUAAAACUUUUAAGAAAGUGGCUUUUUGUGUGAAAGUGGCACAGUCAGACAUUUUACUGUCUAAAGAACAAGAAAUUUACAGUCAAGUACAAAUAUCAACUGAGGGGUGAGUUACACAUACUUCCUAUGCAGGAAUUGCAGAUAAUCUGUAAUUAUUAAAGCUAGUGUUGACAUUUCAACACAUUACUUACUACUUAAGUUUGCACAACUUAUUUUUGUGCAUUAAACUGGAAUAACUGCAGUUCCUGUAUAUACAGAAGUGCUUAUUGUUUUGUUUUUAGGUCAAUGCAUGAUGUUUUUUUAGCUCACCAGAGCAUAAAGGUGAGCUAUUGUGAACAGUCAUUUCUGGCGUCCUUCAACAUUUGCCUUGUGAACACUACAGGCCACAUUUGUGACCUAAUCUUUAUGAAACUUGGUCAGAAUGUUAGUCUUGAUAAUCUGUAGGUCAUUUUUGAAACUGGGUCAUGUGGGGUCAGAAACUAGGUGAGUAGGUCAGAUCAAAGGAAAAGCUUGUGAACACUCUAGAGACCACAUUUUUGACCCAAUCUUUAUGAAACUUGGUCAGAAUGUUAGUCUUGAUGAUCUUUAGGUCAAAUUUGAAACUGGGUUAUGUUGGGUCAAAAACUAGGUCAGUAGGUCAGAUCAAAGGAAAACCUGGUGAACACUCUAGAGACCACAUUUGUGAACCAAUCUUUAUGAAACUUGGUCAGAAUAUUAGUCUUGAUGAUUUCUGGGUCAGUUUUGAAACUUGGUGAUGUGGGGUGAAAAACUGGGUCACUAGGCUAGAUAAAAGGAAAAGCUUGUGAACACUCUAGAGACCACAUUUGUGUCGGACCCAAUCUUUAUGAAACUUGGUCAGAAUGUUAGUCAUGAUGAUAUCUAGAUCAAGUACGAAACUGGGUCAUGUGGGGUCAAAAACUAGGUCAGUAGGCCAGAUCAAAGGAAAAGCUUGUGAACACUCUAGAGGCCACAUUUGUGACCCAAUCUUUAUGAAACUUGGUCAGAAUGUUUGUCUUCAUUAUUUCUAGGUCAAUUUUGAAUCGGGGUCAUGUGGGGUGAAAAACUAUCAUUCAUAUUGCGUGUUGUUUUUCAGAUCGCGUGUUGUUUUCUUUUAAAACUAAUGCUGUUGUUUUAUCUUGUUGUUUUUCCGAUAUUUUCAUUAUGUAUGUUUCGUCUUUAAAACUAAUGCAGUUUUCUGUUGUUUUUCAGAUCGCGUGCUGUUUUCUGUUGUUUUUUUUAUCAUGUAUUUCUGUAUUUUUCAUUUAGUAACUAUCAUAUUUAAAACUAAUGCUGUUGUUUCACUUUGUUGUUUUUCCGAUAGUUUCAUUAUGUAUGUUUCAUCUUUAGAACUUAGAUAUAAAUGCGGUUUUCUGUUGUUUUUCAAAUCGUGUGUUGUUUUCUGUUGUUUCUUAUCAUGUAUUUCUGUAGUUUUCAUUUAGUAACUAUGAUAUUUAAAAAUAAUGCUGUUGUUUUACCGAUAGUUUCAUUACGUAUGUUUCAUCUUUAGAACUUAGAUAUAAAUGCAGUUUUCUGUUGUUUUUCAAAUCGUGUGUUGUUUUCUGUUGUUUCUUAUCAUGUAUUUCUGUAGUUUUCAUUUAGUAACUAUCAUAUUUAAACAUAAUGCUGUUGUUUUACCGAUAGUUUCAUUACGUAUGUUUCAUCUUUAGAACUUAGAUAUAAAUGCAGUGUUCUGUUGUUUUUCAAAUCGUGUGUUGUUUUCUGUUGUUUCUUAUCAUGUAUUUCUGUAGUUUUCAUUUAGUAACUAUGAUAUUUAAAGAUAAUGCUGUUGUUUUACUUUGUUGUUUUUUCCGAUAUUUUCAUUAUGUA